rnacentral:rRNA from 1 species
GUUUCCGUAGGUGAACCUGCGGAAGGAUCAUUGUCGAAUCCUGUAAACACAAACGACUUGUGAACUUGUUUAACCACACGGGGUCAAGACGAGUGGGCAGUAAUGCCUUUCACGCCUUGCCCCACAGUCGGGGCACAAGCCCUGCAAAACGAACCCCGGCACAUAAAGUGCCAAGGAAAACGCAUAACGAGGGCCUUCCUCAUCCUUUCCCGUUCGCGGGUUGCGGGGUGAGGCAACGGCUUAUUCUCAAAACGUAAAACAACUCUCGGCAACGGAUAUCUCGGCUCUCGCAUCGAUGAAGGACGUAGCGAAAUGCGAUACUUGGUGUGAAUUGCAGAAUCCCGUGAAUCAUCGAGUCUUUGAACGCAAGUUGCGCCCAAAGCCGUUUGGCCGAGGGCACGUCUGCCUGGGCGUCACGCAUCGCGUCGCCCCUUGCUCCUGCCUUCCCUAAGCAAGGGUUUCGGUAAAGGUGCGAUGGGGCGGAAUCUGGCUUCCCGUGCUACAAUUUUGGCGUGGUUGGCAAAAAUCUAUAUCUGCGCCGAAGGACGUCACGACAAGUGGUGGUUGGUAUACUCAACUCUCUUGUUGUCGUGCCCUAUCCUCUCGACGUGGAUUUGAUCAGACCCUGUUGCCAUUGUCUCUUCUUAACGGAGGAGUCAUGCGUUACGACCGCGACCCCAGGUCAGGCGGGACUACCCGCUGAGUUUAAG